AACGAACGCUGGCGGCAUGCCUAACACAUGCAAGUCGAACGAGACCUUCGGGUCUAGUGGCGCACGGGUGCGUAACGCGUGGGAACCUGCCCUUAGGUUCGGAAUAACUCCCCGAAAGGGGUGCUAAUACCGGAUAAUGUCUUCGGACCAAAGAUUUAUCGCCUUUGGAUGGGCCCGCGUUGGAUUAGCUAGUUGGUAGGGUAAAAGCCUACCAAGGCGACGAUCCAUAGCUGGUCUGAGAGGAUGAUCAGCCACACUGGGACUGAGACACGGCCCAGACUACUACGGGAGGCAGCAGUGGGGAAUAUUGGACAAUGGGCGAAAGCCUGAUGCAGCAAUGCCGCGUGAGUGAUGAAGGCCUUAGGGUUGUAAAGCUCUUUUACCCGGGAUGAUAAUGACAGUACCGGGAGAAUAAGCUCCGGCUAACUCCGUG
rnacentral:rRNA from 1 species